rnacentral:rRNA from 1 species
AUUGAACGCUGGCGGCAGGCCUCACACAUGCAAGUCGAACGAGUGGCGGACGGGUGAGUAAUGUCUGGGAAACUGCCUGAUGGAGGGGGAUAACUACUGGAAACGGUAGCUAAUACCGCAUACCCUCGGAUGUGCCCAGAUGGGAGUAGCUAGUAGGUGGGGUAACGGCUCACCUAGUCGACGCUCCCUAGCUGGUCUGAGAGGAUGACAGGCAACACUGUAACGGAGACACGGGCCAGACGCCUACGGGAGGCAGCAGUGGGGAAUAUUGCACAAUGGGCGCAAGCCUGAUGCAGCCAUGCCGCGUGUAUGAAGAAGGCCUUCGGGUUGUAAAGUACUUUCAGCGGGGAGGCGUUACCCGCAGAAGAAGCACCGGCUAACUCCGUGCCAGCAGCCGCGGUAAUAC